ACCACCUCCAAGCUGCCCACCAACCAUGCUCUGAUGCAUUUGUAGUCUUUCAAAUGUGCACUUCUGCCUGGCGGCCUCCUCCUGGCUUCAGCCUUGAACCUCACCUUGAUUGCCACUUCCUUUGGGGAAACUCCUCUGAUGCUUUCCCUGGUGUAGGUAGCUCCCCCGCCUGAUGCCAUCACACCGUGGAACAGCCACAUUUCACUGUUAGGUCCUGGCCUCCCACAUCAGACUCUGAGCUCUACAAGGGCAGGCCUGUGCACCUGUGAUUCCACUUCCACCAUGUAGAUGAGGGCAAAGCCCCAUGACAGUGGUUCUUAAACUUGGCUGCUAUUGGAGUCAAUGUGUAGCCAAGUUUGGGAACUGCUGCUUUAGAAGAUGCCACAGAAACACGAUGGAAGGAACCUGUGACCCUGGAUGACUGUAUGAAGCAGAUCAUCCUGCCAACUGGGAACAUCCACCUUGAACAGUUACGUAAGAGAGACAUCACCUCUAUCUUACCUACCCUCACAAAUGCCAUGGAGAUGCCUGAGGAGUAGAAGGAAAAUCUGAUUAUCACCUGGAGGCCUGGACUGUCAACCGUUGGUCAGGAAAGGCAAAGGCACCAGCAAUUGCUUGCUUGUAAACACACAUGCACACACAUGCACAGCUCACACACUUUUGCUGCACAGUUCUCCCUGUCCCAGUCACCAUUAAAGCAGCAAUCAGCUAAAGCCACAGUUUUCCUGGCUUCCCACCAGGCUCUGAUUAAGAGAGAACUUCUCCACCGAAUAUUUUAUACAUAAUCCUAUUGCAUGCAGCCUUGAUUCAGGAAUAUUCUAGAGGUGGCACCUGCAAUCAAAGCCUCCUCCUGCUCACUGUCAGUAGUUCAGCUUUCUGUUCUGAGAGCCCAGACUUCCAGGUACUAGUCCUGAAGAAAAUGAAUUCUUCGAAGCUCGCCUGCAGAUUUCUUUUCUUGAGCACUACCCCUUCAUCCCUGCUUCCACAUGUGAGAUCCCCAGGGCUGGGAUAAAGGUGAAGUGAGCAAGUCAUCUAGGACACAACAUUGAAGGGGACACCACUCUCACAGUUUUGCAAAUACCUUCAGCUCCUCACUUGCCUCACCCUGGUCCUGGCCUGGAUGAUCAUAGGUACCUCACCUGGGUUCAUGGUGCAAAGUGUGAACAUUCAGUAUGGUGAACUGAAGAAAAACAAAAAUCGAAUGAGAAAUCAAAAAAGCAGAAUUUUCAUUUUGACUUUAUUACUAACUCAACAUGAUAUCAAGAAAAA
rnacentral:lncRNA from 10 species